AGCUAUCUUAACUUCAUACAUAUACAAAUGUAAGGAGAAGAACUGCAUAAUCUUGCAGCAAAUGCUAAGCUAAGAUAGGUAGCCAUACCUUUUUUACAUUGUCUAAGCCUUUAUGCUAUGCUUUUGAAGAACUGAGUAUUAUAACAAUAAGAAACAUAGUUUCAGAAUGUGACAAAUAACAGUCCAAGAUCUGAACUUGAACAAUGAUAGAAUGAAGGAUAAGCAGUUGAUAUACAGGAACUUGAACCAUAGACACAAUUUGAUGAACCUGAGUCUUUUUCUUCUUGUCUGUUGGGAGUUCGGUGAUGAAUAGAUGAUGAUCACACCAUAAGUUACUUGGAGAUGCUGCUGUACCUCUCCUAAUAAAUCUGUGACUGCCCACAACAAUGAGAAAGACAUCUGACUACUUUUAAACUUUUAAUUUACAAUAUCUUAAGUUUUAUUAAUAAUUAUAAUACCUGUGAUGUGCUGUAUUUGAGAUAAUCAUAUUCAUAGUUGGUAUACACAAUAUAAAUAAACACUUAACAAACAAUUAGCAGCUACUUCA